rnacentral:rRNA from 1 species
GAUGAACGCUGGCGGCGUGCCUAAUACAUGCAAGUCGAGCGAACAGAUGAGGAGCUUGCUCCACUGACGUUAGCGGCGGACGGGUGAGUAACACGUGGAUAACCUACCUAUAAGGCUGGGAUAACUUCGGGAAACCGGAGCUAAUACCGGAUAAUAUAUUGAACCGCAUGGUUCAAUAGUGAAAGACGGUUUUGCUGUCACUUAUAGAUGGAUCCGCGCCGCAUUAGCUAGUUGGUAAGGUAACGGCUUACCAAGGCAACGAUGCGUAGCCGACCUGAGAGGGUGAUCGGCCACACUGGAACUGAGACACGGUCCAGACUCCUACGGGAGGCAGCAGUAGGGAAUCUUCCGCAAUGGGCGAAAGCCUGACGGAGCAACGCCGCGUGAGUGAUGAAGGUCUUCGGAUCGUAAAACUCUGUUAUUAGGGAAGAACAAAUGUGUAAGUAACUAUGCACGUCUUGACGGUACCUAAUCAGAAAGCCACGGCUAACUACGUG